rnacentral:lncRNA from 1 species
AUGAGACAGGUUGGAAGAAGAAAAUGGAAAACUCCUUGGAGAGAAACCCUCUGGAUCCCCAAGUCCAGGAUGGGCUCGCAGCCGAGUGGUUCUCCUCUGGCUUUGACCAUGGCCCUUGCUGGUCCAACUGAACUGCUUCAAUUGAAGCCAAAGAGCUACAAAACUGACUACCAUCCAGCAGGAUCCCAUCAUACAGGGGGGGACUUCAUUUCUUAUCUAAGUGUCCUUGACAGCUGAAAUAACAGAACAAUAUUUUAACAUGCUUUACCUGGAUAGGCCCAUUUGCCAAGGACAUUCUAAAAAUAUACUGAUGGGAUUUGAAAAAGAAAUCUCCUACUGAUUCUAAAGUUCUCUGCAAGUGCUACCUUUUAAAUUUAUGUCAACAGAAAUGGCUAGAGUUUAACAUGUCCAUUCAUAGUAUAGGAAACAUUCAGCUACAAAGGUUACCAGCUUACAUUUCCAGCAUACAGCUAUGAUUAUA